rnacentral:tRNA from 1 species
ACUUUUAAAGGAAAAUAGCUAUCCAAUGGSCCUAGGAACCAAAUUUCU